AUUUUAGUAGCUUACACACUAGAGCGUGGCACUGAAGAUGCCAAGGAGGCAAAUAUGCCCUAGGAUA
rnacentral:tRNA from 1 species